rnacentral:lncRNA from 1 species
GUAAGGUUAAAGCGGAAAUCAGCUGUGGAAGUCAGUGGCGUCAGUUCAGCUAAACCUAGGCUCAAACAAAUGGAUUGGAGAGUUAUAUUUGUCUGCGCAGUAGCAUGGCAUGUUUCACUGGUGUCACAAUCUUAUGCCACAGGUGGUGUGAAUACAUCUCUCUCUACAGCUCAGAGCAACUUGUCUCUGUGUUUCACCUGCAACGGUGAGAGAUGUCAAGAUGUGAAAAAGAUUUUCAACUCAAUGAGAGAUGACAAAAUUUGGACGCAAAGUACUGCAACGUCUGCCCUUCUUGGCUGUUCCCUGACCUCGUCUCCCUUUGCUGGGAAGUGUGUGCCAUGUGUUGAGGACCGCAAGGUCUACAUUGUUUGCCUUGACAUGCCCAAGGAUCUCAAACUGGACCUGGAGGAUGGUGAUGGCAACUCAUUUUCCUACACUGAAGCUACAUGCCCUAGACUGACGGCGUCUAGAGCUGUAGGUCACGCUGGACACAACAGUGGAGUCAGAGGUCUUGCUGGGCAUGGUGGAGCAAUGAUCAGCAUUGGCAUGUUAGCAGCUGCCGUCAUCUUUGUCGCUUACUACAGAAGCCAGACCAAAUCAAGUAUUGUCUAGUGUCAACUUCAGAAGUCCACUCAGAGGAACACCAGACCCAUUUAAAGUUAUUAAAGACUGUCACGUCUACUGCUCCCCCUCUCCGGCGCACAGAGGGAGGGGGGCAGAACAUGAGACAGAGCUGCA